rnacentral:rRNA from 1 species
CCUACGGGUGGCAGCAGUAGGGAAUCUUCCACAAUGGGCGAAAGCCUGAUGGAGCAACGCCGCGUGGGUGAAGAAGGUCUUCGGAUCGUAAAACUCUGUUGUUAGAGAAGAAAGUGCGUGAGAGUAACUGUUCACGUUUCGACGGUAUCUAACCAGAAAGCCACGGCUAACUACGUGCCAGCAGCCGCGGUAAUACGUAGGUGGAAAGCGUUAUCUGGAUUUAUUGGGCGUAAAGGGAACGCAGGCGGUCUUUUAAGUCUGAUGUGAAAGUCUUCGGCUUAACCGGAGUAGUGCAUUGGAAACUGGGAGACUUGAGUGAAGAAGAGGAGAGUGGAACUCCAGGUGUAGCGGUGAAAUGCGUAGAUAUAUGGAAGAACACCAGUGGCGAAAGCGGCUCUCUGGUCUGUAACUGACGCUGAGGUUCGAAAGCGUGGGUAGCAAACAGGAUUAGAUACCCGGGUAGUC